rnacentral:rRNA from 1 species
AACGAACGCUGGCGGCAUGCCUAACACAUGCAAGUCGAACGAGACCUUCGGGUCUAGUGGCGCACGGGUGCGUAACGCGUGGGAACCUGCCCUUAGGUUCGGAAUAACUCCCCGAAAGGGGUGCUAAUACCGGAUAAUGUCUUCGGACCAAAGAUUUAUCGCCUUUGGUUGGGCCCGCGUUGGAUUAGCUUGUUGGUAGGGUAAAAGCCUACCAAGGCGACGAUCCAUAGCUGGUCUGAGAGGAUGAUCAGCCACACUGGGACUGAGACACGGCCCAGACUCCUACGGGAGGCAGCAGUGGGGAAUAUUGGACAAUGGGCGAAAGCCUGAUCCAGCAAUGCCGCGUGAGUGAUGAAGGCCUUAGGGUUGUAAAGCUCUUUUACCCGGGAUGAUAAUGACAGUACCGGGAGAAUAAGCUCCGGCUAACUCCGUG